rnacentral:rRNA from 1 species
GAAGCCCCAGUAAACGGCGGCCGUAACUAUAACGGUCCUAAGGUAGCGAAAUUCCUUGUCGGGUAAGUUCCGACCUGCACGAAUGGCGUAACGAUCUCCGCGCUGUCUCAACCAGAGACUCGGUGAAAUUGAAUUAAGAGUGAAAAUGCUCUUUACCCGCAGUGUGACGGAAAGACCCUGUGCACCUUUACUAUAGCUUGACAUUGGGUUUUGAGCCAACAUGUGUAGGAUAGGUGGGAGGCUUUGAAGCGUGUACGCCAGUAUGCGUGGAGCCAACCUUGAAAUACCACCCUUGUUGGUUUAAGACUCUAAUCCAUAGCCGUAAUCCGGCAUGGAGACAUUGUCUGGUGGGUAGUUUGACUGGGGCGGUCGCCUCCAAAACAGUAACGGAGGCAUACAAAGGUUCCCUCAGCCUGAUUGGAAACCAGGCGCCGAGUGCAAACGCAUAAGGGAGCUUGACUGCAAGAGUGACAGCUCGAGCAGGUACGAAAGUAGGUGUUAGUGAUCCGGUGGUCCCGAAUGGAAGGGCCAUCGCUCAUUGGAUAAAAGGUACGCCGGGGAUAACAGGCUGAUCGCAUCCAAGAGUCCAUAUCGACGAUGCGGUUUGGCACCUCGAUGUCGACUCAUCACAUCCUGGGGCUGAAGCAGGUCCCAAGGGUACGGCUGUUCGCCGUUUAAAGUGGUACGUGAGUUGGGUUUAAAACGUCGUGAGACAGUUUGGUCCCUAUCUACUGUGGGCGCAGGAGAUUUGAGAGGAUCUGUUCCUAGUACGAGAGGACCGGGAUGGACGAACCCCUGGUGUCCCUGUUGUUUCGCCAGAAGCAUGGCAGGGUAGCUAAGUUCGGAAUGGAUAACCGCUGAAAGCAUCUAAGCGGGAAGCCAGCCUCAAGAUAAGAUCUCCCUGAAGACCCCUGGAAGACCACCAGGUCGAUAGGCUGGAGGUGUAAGUGCAGCGAUGCAUUCAGCUUACCAGUACUAAUAGGUCGUUCGGCUUAUUCCU